AAAGGUUAUUUAUUCCUGAAUAUAUUAUCCGUAGUUUUUGCAAACAAUAUAAAGUUUUGUAAACAGUUAAUUCAUAUAAUUGACUAUUUUAAUAAUAAUUCAUGUUUACACAAAGUGCUAACUUUUGGACAUCGUGUUGCUGCAUGGGUUGUUUGUUUCAUUAAUUUUUAUUGUGCUAUAGCUAAAAAGGUUACAGUCCACAGGAAGACAUAUUACCCUAACUUGACACUCCGAUCCAACUAGUCUUUGUUCUUACCCCUUAAUGCCAAUUGAUUAACGGAAAUCAGCAAAUACCAAUUUUUGAGUCUUAGGUUUGACCAGGCCGGUGUCAGAACCCACGAUAUCAGGCGUUUUAAUUCAUUUAUUAUAUUUAUUUAAUUGUACAAUGAAUUAAUAAAAGGGUGCAUACUGUAAGAAUCCAUCUUAUAUGAAUCCACGCUUAAACAUACACAUCCACCCAAAAGAAAUAACUUUUGCAACAUAUAUAGAAAUAAGAAGAUGUGGUAUGAGUGCCAAUGAUACUACUCUCCUUCCAGGACACAACAUGUAAAAAGUAAACAAUUAUAGGUCAAAGUACGACCUUUAACACAGAGCUUUGGCUUACACCGACCAGCAAGCUAUCAAGGACACACAAGUGACUAAUGUAGAAAUUCAAACAGGAAAACCAACGGUUUAAUCUUUAUAUAAAAAAAAACUAGAAACGAGGAACACGUAUGAACCACAACAACCACCGAACAGGUUCCUUACUUGUUGCAAACAAACACAGCAUGUGAAAACGUUUAAACAGGCGACAACCUUCACCCUAACCCGAACUUAUAUACUUUUAUUAGUAACUUGCAUGUCCAAUUAUAACUGUAGUUCAUUUUGAUAAACAAAUUACAAAAACACAAAAACAAAACGAAACAAUACAAAAUGCAACUUAAUCACAUACAUGCAUUUUACAUGAUAUUUCACAAAUCAUUUGACACUGACAGGAAAGUGAAAACAUUUUUCGUCAUUGCCAGUAUCCACAUCAUAAUUACAGAUAACAAAAAUGUUCCAUAGAUAUAGGAAGAUGUGGUGUGAGUGCCAAUGAUACAACUCUCCAUCCAAAUAACAAUUUAUAAAAGUAAACCAUAAUAGGUCAAUGUACGGCCUUUAACACGGGGCCUUGGCUCACACCGAACAACAAGCUAUAAAGGGCCCCAAAAUUACUACUGUAAAACCAUUCAAACC
rnacentral:lncRNA from 1 species